rnacentral:rRNA from 1 species
ACGGGUGAGUAAUGCCUAGGAAUCUGCCUGGUAGUGGGGGACAACGUUUCGAAAGGAACGCUAAUACCGCAUACGUCCUACGGGAGAAAGCAGGGGACCUUCGGGCCUUGCGCUAUCAGAUGAGCCUAGGUCGGAUUCGCUAGUUGGUGAGGUAAUGGCUCACCAAGGCGACGAUCCGUAACUGGUCUGAGAGGAUGAUCAGUCACACUGGAACUGAGACACGGUCCAGACUCCUACGGGAGGCAGCAGUGGGGAAUAUUGGACAAUGGGCGAAAGCCUGAUCCAGCCAUGCCGCGUGUGUGAAGAAGGUCUUCGGAUUGUAAAGCACUUUAAGUUGGGAGGAAGGGUUGUAGAUUAAUACUCUGCAAUUUUGACGUUACCGACAGAAUAAGCACCGGCUAACUCUGUGCCAGCAGCCGCGGUAAUACAGAGGGUGCAAGCGUUAAUCGGAAUUACUGGGCGUAAAGCGCGCGUAGGUGGUUUGUUAAGUUGGAUGUGAAAUCCCCGGGCUCAACCUGGGAACUGCAUCCAAAACUGGCAAGCUGGAGUAUGGUAGAGGGUGGUGGAAUUUCCUGUGUAGCGGU